rnacentral:rRNA from 1 species
UACGAAGGGGGCUAGCGUUGCUCGGAAUCACUGGGCGUAAAGGGUGCGUAGGCGGGGCUUUAAGUCAGGGGUGAAAUCCUGGAGCUCAACUCCAGAACUGCCUUUGAUACUGAGGAUCUUGAGUACGGGAGAGGUGAGUGGAACUGCGAGUGUAGAGGUGAAAUUCGUAGAUAUUCGCAAGAACACCAGUGGCGAAGGCGGCUCACUGGCCCGUAACUGACGCUGAGGCACGAAAGCGUGGGGAUCAAACAGG